UUGAUUGAAUAUGAUUGUAAAUUGGGUUAAAAUGUAAUAAUUAACUAAUAAUGUUUGUUAGAACCCAUGUGAGCAAGCUGAAGGCGACUGUAGCAAGAAACACAAAACUCCAUAAAAUGUUGGUUAAUGGAGAAACCAGGCUCAAUGUGGGGGCCAGUUCCCCUCUGGAUAAACAACAUGAAUGUAAUAAGAGUAUUAGUUAUUUGUGUGCAGUGCAAGUCAUGUUUUAAAAUUUGUAAAUUAAGGAAGCGUUACGGUCCAGUGUUCACAUCAUCACCAAAUACCCUCAUCUUCUGACUUCAGUCAUCCGGCCUGUUACUUACUCACCCCCCAAUCUACAGAGGAAAUCCGCAACACCCACACCCACCUGCGCCCCCGGCUUGUGGACCACCUCAAACAUAAAAGGCUGGAGAGCCAGAUACGAACGGGUGAUCCAUGCAUUUGAAUUCUUCAUGCGAUGGAGCCACUGGAGUGGGGCAUUAGCUAAACAGAGGGUGAAACAUGCCCCAACAGAUAGUAUCAGUGGGUGAGGAUCACUCACUUGAUGGCCAAACACUCCUUCUCUAUUGUGGUGUACUUAGUCUCCCUCAGUGAGAGUUUGCGACUAAUGUACAGCAUGGGCCGCUCAUCCCCCUCCACGAUCUGGGACAUUACCGCUCCCAACCCCCUGUCCGAUGCAUCCAUCUGCAAGAUAAAAGGAAUAUCAGGAGAGUGCAAUAACGGCCCACCGCAAAGUGCAGCUGUCACCAGCGAAAGCCUGCUGAUACAGCUCUAUCUACUGGACUGGAUCUGGAGCCUCUUUUUAAUAAGGUUAGUCAUUGGACUGAUGACGGUUGAAUACCCAGAUAGCAAAAAAUGUCCGCACGGCUUCUUUUUGCCGCCGACCCCAAGCUGUCGGCUAUAGGUGCGUCCCACUGGCGAGGAUGAAACGUUUGCCGCCGAAUUCGUCAUUCCCAUUUCUUGCGAGAUGCCCCCGCGAAAAGCUGGCAGGCCGCCUGCUUCAUUUUCUCUGGCGGUUGCCUCGGGCUAAUCGACCGCGGCCGGCUGGCGGCAAGCCGCUUUGAAAUACGAGGACAGAUUAGACUCUCAAAAUCGACCAGCCAUGUUGGCUAUUAUUAUUUUUUGCUCCAAAGCCAUUAGGGUUUAUAACAUAGUCUUGACUCUUGAUUCCAUGAUAAGGUAAGGUUUAGGAAAUGACAUUUAAAUUACUUUGAAACUCUGAAGCGAUUAUACAGUAAUAUAUGUAAAAUAUAUUGAAUUAUUUUAUGCACUAGGUGAAAAUUGUUUACAUUUCUUUGAUUGAUGCACAUUUGAGACAUGCACCAAUAAACCAAAAAUAAUUCCUUUUGUAAAAGUUACUUGGCAAUAAAUAUCUUUCUGAUUCUGAUUAGGUUUUAAAAUAGAUAUUUAAUUCAUGGUAUGAACAAUUUAGCAGAAUAAAUUGAUGAAGUUAGACGCAGAAAUUUCGUUUAUGUCUUUACAUUUUUUCCAACCUCGAUUUACUUUUAGUUAAUUUACCUAUUACAGGUAAGGGAUUCAUUUGCAAUUAUGACCUGUACAAAUGUUUAAGAAAGUGUUAAAGUCCCUGUAAAGGCAAUAAAAAAAAAUCUUAAAAAAGGGGAUAAAAAUUGCUAAAACACAUUACAAAGACUGUGAACUGUUGAGUACUGAAUAGCCUACAUGCACAAGCGUAGUGACGAACUUCCGCUGUCGCCAGAAGUCGGCAUAUCUUUUUACGGUUUACUUGCUCGUCACCCAAAAUGUCUGUUUUUACUCGAUGUCUCCGUGAUCUUCCGAAAAUUUGCGUCAGCGAUGUUCAUCGCAUUGUUGAUGCCUGGUCCCCUGCUCCGACAAGCAAGAGGGACAAGGGAUUUAAACUCUACAUAUCGAGUUAUCUGCACAACUACAAGGGUAAGUAUUUUAAUCUAAUGUGGUGUGCCGGCAGAUAGUAGCUAAGCUAGUUCGCCACGUGUUAAUUUUUAAUGUAACGUUAGUAUAGAAGCUUGUUUUUUCUUAGUUUUAAAGCAGACUGUUUGUUAAUUUUUGUGAUAAUUGUAAUAUCAAUUAUAUUAACUUGCUCUCCUCUCAGUUUAUAUUAAAGAUCAGGGCACAGGUGAAGUCACUGUCAGGGCAUUGUGUUACAGGUCCAUGAGGAAAACGGAGAAACCUCACAGUUUGAGUGUAUGGUGAAGCUAGAAUUGAUAAGACCGCAGUUAUAGGCUUGUUACUUUAAUAGCCCGAUGGCUAAGGUUAUUCAUGUUUAAUGUAACUCAAAAGAAAACAGUUAUUGUAGGCAGGUAAGUUUCCCUAGCUGGUCCCCUCCGGGUAAAAUGAGUUCUUAUUCAAGUUUUCAACUCAGUCAUUCGUUUAAGAUGCAAUCUUGUGUUAUAAGUAUUAGGCUAUCAUGAUUAUACAGUGAGCAAGCUAUAUAAAUAAGUAUUUAAUAUAAUAAAAGUGUAGAGAAACAACCUAGGGUGUAAGGUAAAGGCUGAAUAUUGUAGAUUUAUUACAAUAUGUUGCAUGUUUGAAUUAAAAUACCUGUGGAUAUGCAACUUCCCACUCAUGAAAGUUUUAUGUUAUUCAAAGGAGCACUCUCUACAAAGGCCUGACUGGAGAUUUGCCUGAUCUAUCUGUCCUUCAGGUGACAGCGGCUCACUUAUAGAGCAGGUGAAGCAAGUUGGGCCAAUGUUGAAGACGUUUGCUCACACUGGGCAAGCAGGUGCAGAUCAGACCCCAAUGCUGCGACGUCUUGGAGAGUUUGGCGAUGUUUUGCGUAGCAUGGACAACAAAAUGGACGCUAUGCUGCAACAUUUCAGUGCCAAUGUGCCGGAUGGAGAGUUAUCCCUGCCAGGGGAUCUGUUACUCCCCCCUAGACACCCAGGAAGAUUUGGCGUUGCUUGACAACAGUUUGAGGCAGGAUAAAGAGCCCCAGCAACGAUUUCUUCGGUUUUUGGCAAUCAAAUGUGGGAGGGACCUAAAGACAACCGUGUGGCGAAUGCUACAGAGUAUCUUCUCUAAUCACCUUUCCAUCAAUACAACCUGGACUGGUGUAGGGGAUAAAGCAUGUGUUAGAGACAUGUUCCUGAAGACCAUUGUUCAAAGAGCCAUCUGGAAGAACCCGGCAACCCAGGAUGCCACUGAUGAGGUGAUCCAGGUUAACGUUACGCAUUCCCUGAAAGGAGCAUCUGAACGUGAAGGUGGAAAAAGGCGCCUUAAACCUAGGCUGACUACUGACACCCCAGCAUCACUGACAACUGGAAUCCUUUCUUUAUCCUGCAGUCAGUAACAUCAAGACCCCUAAAAAAGCCUGCUAAAAGUGUCAGACUACACUCACCCAAUCCACACUGUUCACUGUGGAAAUUGCUCUUUUUUUUCUCUCGUGACCCUGCUUUGAGGGCAGCUCCUUGGAUGAAUAUGGGAUGGUUUGUCCUUUUAUACCUGUUAUCCUGCACAUUCUUUGAUACCAAAGAUCCCAAUUAUUUAAUAUACAAUUUGCUGCUUAUUUCAUUGUUACAGUGCUUAACUAUUCUAUUUUUAAAUAUAGCUUGUACAUCCUAGAUUAUACAUCUAAUACUUGAUAUCUGCACAUAAUCUGGUAUAAAAUAUUCUACUUACCGUGACUUUAGUAUUGGCUUAUUUCAUUCCGUCAGUGCUUAACGAUUCUAUUAUAGUUUGUAAAUCCUAUUUCAUACCUCUGAUACUUGAUAUUGCACAUUAACUAGUACCAAAAAUUCUACUUUCAUUCCGUCACAAUGCUUAACUGUUAUUCUAUUGUUAAAUAUAGCUUGUAAAUCCUUGUGUCACAGGUCAGCAUUGCAGUUAUAAUGGUAUAUUCUACUCCAGAGCUUUACUCUAAAUUAUUACCACUUAUACUAUUAUUAGAAAUGACUUGUAAAUAUGAUGUUAUACCUCAAUUUAUUUGGUAUCCUGCACUUUAUUUGGUACCAAAUAUCCUCAUUGCUUAUGUUUACUGGUAAUUCUUUUGUAAUUAUUGUAAGUGUUACAAUGGUUUUUUUUUAAACAAAAUUGAAUUGAAAACCUGCAUGUGUUUUAGUGUGUGUGUGUGUGUAUAUAUAAUGUUUGUAUUUUUCUGUUAUUUAUAUUUCAGUGAUCUGACAUCUUGUUUCAAUGACAGUUACUGUACUUUGAAAUGUGGAAUUAA